rnacentral:rRNA from 1 species
GAUGAACGCUGGCGGCGUGCCUAAUACAUGCAAGUCGAGCGAACAGAUGAGGAGCUUGCUCCUCUGGCGUUAGCGGCGGACGGGUGAGUAACACGUGGAUAACCUACCUAUAAGACUGGGAUAACUUCGGGAAACCGGAGCUAAUACCGGAUAAUAUAUUGAACCGCAUGGUUCAAUAGUGAAAGACGGUUUUGCUGUCACUUAUAGAUGGAUCCGCGCCGCAUUAGCUAGUUGGUAAGGUAACGGCUUACCAAGGCAACGAUGCGUAGCCGACCUGAGAGGGUGAUCGGCCACACUGGAACUGAGACACGGUCCAGACUCCUACGGGAGGCAGCAGUAGGGAAUCUUCCGCAAUGGGCGAAAGCCUGACGGAGCAACGCCGCGUGAGUGAUGAAGGUCUUCGGAUCGUAAAACUCUGUUAUUAGGGAAGAACAAAUGUGUAAGUAACUAUGCACGUCUUGACGGUACCUAAUCAGAAAGCCACGGCUAACUACGUG